UACGUAGGGUGCGAGCGUUAAUCGGAAUUACUGGGCGUAAAGCGUGCGUAGGCGGUUCGCUGUGGCCGAUGUGAAAGCCCCGGGCUUAACCUGGGAAUGGCAUUGGAAACUGGCGGGCUUGAGUGUGGCAGAGGGGGGUGGAAUUCCACGUGUAGCAGUGAAAUGCGUAGAGAUGUGGAGGAACACCGAUGGCGAAGGCAGCCCCCUGGGCUAACACUGACGCUCAUGCACGAAAGCGUGGGGAGCAAACAGG
rnacentral:rRNA from 1 species